rnacentral:snRNA from 1 species
UAACAUCUGGCAGGGGGGAUACCAUGAUCAUGAAGGUGGUUUUUCCCAGGGCGAGGCUUAUCCAUUGCACUCCAGAUGUGCUGACCCCUGUGAUUUCCCCAAAUGUGGGAAAUUUGACUGCAUAAUUUGUGGUAGUAGGGGACUUCGUUCAUGCUCGCCCCUG